rnacentral:rRNA from 1 species
GAGUUUGAUCCUGGCUCAGAGUUAACGCUGGCGGCGUGCCUAACACAUGCAAGUCGAGCGAAGAGUGGCAGAGUAUCGCGCUCUUAGCGGCAGACGGGUGAGUAAUACUUAAACUAUCUGCCCUCGAAUGGGAGACAACCAGGCGAAAGUUUGGCUAAUACCCCAUACAAUCCAUCUGGAGCAUUCCUAGUGGAUGAAAGGCCCGCAAGGGUCGUUCGAGGAGGAGUUUGAGUCCUAUCAGCUAGUUGGCGGUGUAACGGACCACCAAGGCUAUGACGGGUAGCCGAUCUAAAAGGAUGACCGGCCACAAGGGCACUGAGACACGGGCCCUACUCCUACGGGAGGCAGCAGUGGGGAAUUUUGGACAAUGGACGAAAGUCUGAUCCAGCGACGCCGCGUGAAGGACGAAGGUUUUCGGAUCGUAAACUUCUUUUGCAGGGGACGAAUAAGCGCAAGCUUUUGACGGUACU